UGUCACUACAGUAGCUUAACUCCUGCACUUCUAUCGCUAUUCGAGUAGUAUAUCAUCGCAUUCAACGCUUAAUGGUUCUAUAACCAUCAACCCUACAUUUUAGGUUCCGUAUCAUUAAACUUCUUAUUUACACAAUUUUAUCUUCCCAAAAUUGCCGAUCGAUAGAUCUUUAAGAAAAUACGAUUGUCAUAAUAAUUGCAAUGCACUGAUCAGCUUUAUAGCAAGCAUAGUGGUGUAUUUUCUAAAUGAAAUCUACUUCCAUUUCGGCUGCUAAAUGGAAGACUUUUUCAUGUAUUCAUUACACUGAAAGAAAUUGUCUUUGAAAAUUACCGUUAAAUUCACGGUAAUUGCGGGACGGAUGGCACGACCUAAUCAUUUGUCGAAUCUCAGAAGAGUGAAGCACAUGAUUACAAAUACAAAUGGCUGCGCCAUACAAUUUGACAAUUGGAGAUUACCAUAAAUUUUUCAGCGUGUAGGUUCAAUAUUUAAUUUCUGAACGCAAAAUUAUCGCGACCACUGGCUCCAUUACAUCUAUACUCAUGUACAUGCGUAAUAAUAAUAAUAAUAAUAAUAAUAAUAAUAAUAAUAAUAAUUGUUGACAAUCGAAUUAAAAUAAAUAAAUUGUUUUUUCUCUCCACUGGCUUCUGGUCAAAAAUGAGUCGUAAAUUUUGUUAAAUUGAUUAAUAUAAGAAAUUAAGAUAAUUAGUACCUAAGAAUUAAAGCUUGGUUUAUAUUGAGUCAUUUAGUAUAUUAUUUAAUAUUGUUAACACUCUGUCUGUAUCUUCAACUAUGUAUCAUUUAAGUUACCCUGUCAUUGGCCCUAUGGGCUGUUGGGUUUUAAUAAA